AUGCUGGUAUAUAUGCUAUCCUCAAAACUUCAUGUCAACCAGGUUGUACCUUCUUUAAAGACAAUGGACCUGUCCUACCAUUCCUACUGGGAUUGCUCAAAUGAUCAGUCCACUGUGCUGAUGAAUGUUCAGUAAAUGUAGCUGAAUACUGAAAGGGAAUAAAGGAAUUCAAAACUAUUGUGAAUUUUGAAAA
rnacentral:lncRNA from 1 species